AUCCAGCUGAUGAACCCCAAACGGAACGAAACGCGUGUCCUGGAU
rfam:Schistosoma mattheei strain Denwood, Zambia genome assembly, scaffold: SMTD_scaffold0001326